AGUGAACGCUGGCGGUAGGCCUAACACAUGCAAGUCGAACGGCAGCACAGUAAGAGCUUGCUCUUACGGGUGGCGAGUGGCGGACGGGUGAGGAAUACAUCGUAAUCUACUUUUUCGUGGGGGAUAACGUAGGGAAACUUACGCUAAUACCGCAUACGACCUACGGGUGAAAGCAGGGGAUCUUCGGACCUUGCGCGAUUGAAUGAGCCGAUGUCGGAUUAGCUAGUUGGCGGGGUAAAGGCCCACCAAGGCGCCGAUCCGUAGCUGGUCUGAGAGGAUGAUCAGCCACACUGGAACUGAGACACGGUCCAGACUACUAAGGGAGGCAGCAGUGGGGAAUAUUGGACAGUGGGCGCAAGCCUGAUCCAGCCAUACCGCGUGGGUGAAGAAGGCCUUCGGGUUGUAAAGCCCUUUUGUUGGGAAAGAAAAGCAGCAGGUUAAUACCCCGCUGUUCUGACGGUACCCAAAGAAUAAGCACCGGCUAACUUCGUG
rnacentral:rRNA from 1 species